rnacentral:rRNA from 1 species
GACGAACGCUGGCGGCGUGCCUAAUACAUGCAAGUCGAACGCAGCGGCGGACGGGUGAGUAAUGCCUAGGAAUCUGCCUGGUAGUGGGGGAAAACGUCCGGAAACGGGCGCUAUUACCGCAUACUACCCGAUGGGCCUAGGGCGGAUUAGCUCGUUGGUGGGGUAAAGGCCUACCAAGGCGACGACCCGUCACUGGUCUGAGAGGAUGAUCAGUCACACUGGAACUGAGACACGGUCCAGACGCCUACGGGAGGCAGCAGUGGGGAAUAUUGGACAAUGGGCGAAAGCCUGAUCCAGCCAUGCCGCGUGUGUGAAGAAGGUCUUCGGAUUGUAAAGCACUUUAAGUUGGGAGGCGUUACCAACAGAAUAAGCACCGGCUAACUUCGUGCCAGCAGCCGCGGUAAUUC